rnacentral:rRNA from 1 species
UUGGAGGGCAAGUCUGGUGCCAGCAGCCGCGGUAAUUCCAGCUCCAAUAGCGUAUAUUAAAGUUGCUGCAGUUAAAAAGCUCGUAGUUGAAUUUCGGGGCCAAUAUGUCGGUCGUGCCUCGGUACGUACUGGCAUCGUUGGUUUCUCCCUUCUGACGAACCAUGAUGUCAUUUAUUUGGUGUCGUGGGGAAUCAGGACUGUUACUUUGAAAAAAUUAGAGUGUUUAAAGCAGGCUCACGCUUGAAUACAUUAGCAUGGAAUAAUGAAAUAGGACGUUUGAUUCUAUUUUGUUGGUUUCUAGGAUCGACGUAAUGAUUAAUAGGGAUAGUUGGGGGCAUUAGUAUUCAAUUGUCAGAGGUGAAAUUCUUGGAUUUAUUGAAGACUAACUACUGCGAAAGCAUUUGCCAAGGAUGUUUUCAUUAAUCAAGAACGAAAGUUAGGGGAUCGAAGACGAUCAGAUACCGUCGUAGUCUUAACCAUAAACUAUGCCGACUAGGGAUCGGAUGAUGUUAAUUUUUUAAUGACUCAUUCGGCGCCUUACGGGAAACCAAAGUGUUUGGGUUC